CCUACGGGGGGCAGCAGUGGGGAAUAUUGGACAAUGGGGGCAACCCUGAUCCAGCCAUGCCGCGUGUGUGAAGAAGGCCCCCGGGUUGUAAAGCACUUUCAGUGAGGAAGAACGCCUGGUGGUUAAUACCCAUCAGGAAAGACAUCACUCACAGAAGAAGCACCGGCUAACUCCGUGCCAGCAGCCGCGGUAAUACGGAGGGUGCGAGCGUUAAUCGGAAUUACUGGGCGUAAAGCGCGCGUAGGUGGCUUGAUAAGCCGGUUGUGAAAGCCCCGGGCUCAACCUGGGAACGGCAUCCGGAACUGUCAAGCUAGAGUGCAGGAGAGGAAGGUAGAAUUCCCGGUGUAGCGGUGAAAUGCGUAGAGAUCGGGAGGAAUACCAGUGGCGAAGGCGGCCUUCUGGACUGACACUGACACUGAGGUGCGAAAGCGUGGGUAGCAAACAGGAUUAGAUACCCUGGUAGUC
rnacentral:rRNA from 1 species